rnacentral:rRNA from 1 species
UAAUACGGGGGGAGCAAGCGUUGUCCGGAAUCAUUGGGCGUAAAGGGCGUGUAGGUGGUUUCGUAAGUCGAAUGUGAAAUCUCACGGCUCAACCGUGAAAUUGCGUUCGAAACUACGAGACUUGAGUUAGGGAGAGGUGUACGGAAUUCCUGGUGUAGCGGUGGAAUGCGUAGAUAUCAGGAAGAACACCAAUGGCGAAGGCAGUACACUGGCCUGUAACUGACACUGAGGCGCGAAAGCGUGGGGAGCAAACAGGAUUAGAUACCCUGGUAGUCCACGCUGUAAACGAUGGGUACUAGGUUUUGGGGGUCUCAACCCCUUCAGAGCCGUAGCUAACGCGUUAAGUACCCCGCCUGGGGAGUACGAUCGCAAGGUUG